GACGAAGGGGGCUAGCGUUGUUUGGAAUUACUGGGCGUAAAGCGCGUGUAGGCGGUUGCCAUAGUCAGGUGUGAAAGCCUUGAGCUUAACUCAAGAAAUGCACUUGAUACUGGGCGACUAGAGGACCGGAGAGGAUAGUGGAAUUCCCAGUGUAGUGGUGAAAUACGUAGAGAUUGGGAAGAACACCAGUGGCGAAGGCGGCUAUCUGGACGGUUACUGACGCUAAGACGCGAAAGCGUGGGGAGCAAACAGG
rnacentral:rRNA from 1 species